AUAUCUGCCCAACACUCCAACUAUGUACGCAAUAUCUGGACGCGUACAAACCUGAGCAUACAUUAGACUUCCUACUGCUGAUGCAUAAGGAACAUUUUGCAUUUCUUUUUCCUCAAAAGCAUUUUAGGGCAUCGUCCAAGAUUGAACUUGUCUCCUUUAGCCAUAGGGGUAUCACCUGGUUUACAAUCUUACAUGCAAUAUCUGUUGAGAACCUUUUCGAUAUAGGCCUUUUGGGAUAAUCCAAGGAUACCUCAAGAGCGAUCCCGAUGUAUCUGGAUCCCUAAUACAAAAGUUGCAUCACCAAGAUCUUUCAUCUCAAACUUUCUUGCUAGAAAUCUCUUGGUCUCGUACAACAAUCCUAUAUCAUUGUUGGCAAGCAAUAUGUCAUCGACAUAUAAAACCAAGAAAAUAUGCUUACUCCCACUAAAUUUGUGGUAUAUACAAUCAUCAACCAAAUUCAUCUCAAAACCAAAUGAGACAAUGACUUGGUGAAAUUUGUAAUAACAUUGAUGAGACGCCUGCUUAAGCCCAUGAUGGAUUUGUUUAAUCUGCAAACCAUUGAUUUUGUAUCACCUGAUACAUAGUUUUCUGGUUGUACCAUAUAAAUUGUCUCAUCAAUAUCGCCAUUGAGAAACACUGUCUUAACAUCCAUCUGAUGUAGCUCAAGAUCAAAAUAUGCCACUAAUGCCAUUAUAAUCCUAAAAGAGUCUUUCGAUGAAACUGGAGAAAAAGUCUCUUUAUAAUCGAUGCCUUCUUUCUGUGUAAAGCCUUUAGCAAUAAGACGUGCCUUGUACCUCUCCACAUUGCCCUUUGAAUCCCUAUUGGUUUUAAAUAUCCAUUUACAACCAAUGGGCUUCAUACCUUCAGGUAAUGGGACAAGAUCCCAUACGUCAUUAUCCUUCAUAGACUUAAUUUCUUCAUUCAUGGCAUCUUUCCACUUUUGAGAAUUGGAACUUUCCAUGGCUUGACGAAAAUUGAUUGGAUCAUUUUCCAUCACACCAAUGUCAAUUUGUGAUGUGAAUGACACAAAGGAAAACUAAUAAAGUAAAAUGCCUAAAUAUUAGGAACCGAAUUAAAUAAAGCUGGUGAAAUUUUCCUGUCACAAGAAAACACAGGACUAGUUACAAGACAACCUAGAAAGGUGAAAUGAUGCAUGUGCAAUUACUUGUAAUAUAAUAAGCUCUUGAUUUGCAUUCCAUAAUUUCUAUUCAAUGAUCAUGCCAUUGGUAUAACAAUAAGCGCUAAAUCGACUUACUGAAAACAUUCGUCCAUCAAGUGU
rnacentral:misc_RNA from 1 species